UACUAGAGACAACAAAAUGAGUGUUAUGAUCAUAAAUGAGCUAUUAUUGCACCACCCGCCAGCCCAACACCUUUCCCUCUGGAUUUCUUUGAUGCCACCAUUUCUGCGACUCUAAAUGCUUAUUUUUGUUUCAUCUUGCUAAUUUCACUGCAUUUCAGCUGCAACGAGAGUGAAUAGCUUUUCAUAUGCAUUUAUUUACCCUUGUAAGAUUUGAUUCCAUUGGUGAAUCACACUAUUGCUAUGGUGAUUUGUUACCUUGGUCGGCGCCUUUGAGCGACAUUUCUUUGCCGUGACACUUGUACGUGCAUCCGUCGUAACAGCAUUUGUUCCCAGUCCCACAGUCCACAUCACUAAGACACUCCAUCGCCACUCGAACCGGACAAUUUGUCGGACGAGCCACGACCGGACAUUUGAUAAGCAAGCGAGCUAUGGAUCGGGAGAGCAUAUAAAAAUGUAAUCAUGACACCAAGAGGCAUGACGCUUUAUCGAGAA